GGCAGGGUGGUGUAGUGGUUUGAGUGUUGGACUAUGAAUCUGGAGACCAGGGUUUAAAUCCCUUUUCAGCCA